UACGGAGGGUGCAAGCGUUACUCGGAUUUACUGGGUGUAAAGGGCGUGUAGGCGGGAAAGCAAGUCAGAUGUGAAAACCAUGGGCUCAACCUGUGGCCUGCAUUUGAAACUGUUUUUCUUGAGUACUGGAGAGGCAGGCGGAAUUCCUAGUGUAGCGGUGAAAUGCGUAGAUAUUAGGAGGAACACCAGUGGCGAAGGCGGCCUGCUGGACGAUGACUGACGUUGAGGCUCGAAAGCGUGGGGAGCAAACAGG
rnacentral:rRNA from 1 species